ACGAAGUCCAUGGAGCUUGCUCCGGAAGACUUAGUGGCGAACGGGUGCGUAACACGUGAGAAACCUGCCCCGGACUUUGGGAUAACAGUUGGAAACGACUGCUAAUACCGAAUACCACCAUUGAGUCGCAUGGCUCGAUGAUGAAAGGUCCGCCGGUCCGGGAGGGUCUCACGGCCUAUCAGCUUGUUGGAGAGGUAACGGCUCACCAAGGCAUCGACGGGUAGCUGGUCUGAGAGGAUGAUCAGCCACACUGGGACUGAGACACGGCCCAGACUCCUACGGGAGGCAGCAGUGGGGAAUCUUGCACAAUGGGCGCAAGCCUGAUGCAGCAACGCCGCGUGCGGGAAGAAGGCCCUAGGGUUGUAAACCGCUUUCAGGAGGGAAGAAAAUGACGGUACCUCCAGAAGAAGGUGCGGCCAACUACGUGCCAGCAGCCGCGGUAACNCGUAGGCACCAAGCGUUAUCCGGAUUUAUUGGGCGUAAAGAGCUCGUAGGCGGUUCAGUCAGUCGGGUGUGAAAACUUGAGGCUUAACCUCAAGAGGUCACUCGAUACUACUGUGACUAGAGUGCGGUAGGGGAGCGGGGAAUUCCUGGUGUAGCGGUGAAAUGCGCAGAUAUCAGGAGGAACACCAGUGGCGAAGGCGCCGCUCUGGGCCGUAACUGACGCUGAG
rnacentral:rRNA from 1 species